UACGUAGGGUGCGAGCGUUAAUCGGAAUUACUGGGCGUAAAGCGUGCGCAGGCGGUUCGUUAAGUCUGAUGUGAAAGCCCUGGGCUCAACCUGGGAAUGGCAUUGGAUACUGGCGACCUAGAGUGCGGUAGAGGGGUGUGGAAUUCCCGGUGUAGCAGUGAAAUGCGUAGAUAUCAGGAGGAACACCGGUGGUGUAGACGGCUUUCUGGACCGUAACUGACGCUGAGACACGAAAGCGUGGGUAGCAAACAGG
rnacentral:rRNA from 1 species